AAAUUUUUUUCUCAGACCUAAGAGGCCAAUGUGAAUACCAAAAUGAUAUAGAGGACCCAGAAGAAUGACUCUUGAAAUCAUAGUAGUUUACGUGAACUCAUAUUUAAAUAGAUUCUUGCAGGGAGGUGACUAAAAGGAUCAAAAUGCUGCAUCAAGGAUCAACAAAGGUGAAUCUGCAUGAGUGUUCUCUGUCUUUGAAGAGUGUGGUGGAUGUAGCUGGACCUACGAGAUCUUCGAGAUGGAGGCACUCAUUUCCCAGGGGCCAGAGUGCUCCUUGCCGUUGUUUACAGUCAAGCACUUACCUAAAACUUGCCCUUGGCCAAGAGAGGCUAUCUUCUCCAAAGUUUCAGUCCUGCCUCGGGUCCAGCCUGAUCCAGGGACUAAACCUGGCAAGAUUUCUGGUGGGUCAUCCCAGCUUCAGGGUACCCAAUGACUGA
rnacentral:lncRNA from 1 species